AUUGAACGCUGGCGGCAUGCCUUACACAUGCAAGUCGAACGGUAACGCGGGGCAACCUGGCGACGAGUGGCGAACGGGUGAGUAAUGCAUCGGAACGUGCCCAGUAGUGGGGGAUAGCCCGGCGAAAGCCGGAUUAAUACCGCAUACGACCUACGGGUGAGAGCGGGGGACCGUAAGGCCUCGCGCUAUUGGAGCGGGCGAUGUCAGAUUAGGUUGUUGGUGGGGUAAAAGCCUACCAAGCCGACGAUCUGUAGCUGGUCUGAGAGGACGACCAGCCACACUGGGACUGAGACACGGCCCAGACUCCUCCGGGAGGCAGCAGUGGGGAAUUUUGGACAAUGGGGGCAACCCUGAUCCAGCCAUGCCGCGUGCGGGAAGAAGGCCUUCGGGUUGUAAACCGCUUUUGUCAGGGAAGAAACGCUCUGGGCUAAUACCCCGGGGUAAUGACGGUACCUGAAGAAUAAGCCCCGGCUAACUACGUGCCAGCAGCCGCCGUAAUAC
rnacentral:rRNA from 1 species